CGUUUGCUCUCGGCGCUGUGCAAUGUGCAGUGCUGGUCGUAUGCGGACCGAGCCGAAUGAAUGAAAGGGUCUUGAACGUGAUACAGGGCUGCGCGUAGCCUACACUGUAAAAGGUUAAAGAUAAAGAGCACAGGAUGCAUCCGCAUUGGAAAACAACAGACAGUUGCUUGAAGAUGAAAUGAAGAAAAGGACACCAAAUGCAGCACUUGUGAAUCAGCUGAUGAACCAGACCUUCUCACUGAGACGCAAAGAAAUCGUCGAAGAGCAGCCUCCUGUGAAACGCAUGUUGGAACGCUGGCCAGCGCUUUUCAGAAAACAGCAGGUUUUUGCAGAGUUCACUAGGGUGGCAAGUAAAGAUCUUGAACUUUUUUGAGUCCUUGGACCGUCACAUCCCUCGAUUUCUCAAGAUCUUUAAGUCCAAGAAGGGUGUUAUUGGCAGGACACUUGCAGAGCUCCUUACUCAAGCUGAAAUGAAGUUUCUUUUCUUGAUUGGUUUUCCCCUCAUUUGCAGACCCAUGAUGUUGUGGCAAGGCGGACAGCUGUCCUACGCUGUCUUGCAGUUUUUCUUGGGGAUGAUGGGAGUGAUUUUUUUCAAAGUUUGUUUUGAUUCAGAUUCCAUCACGGAUUUCACCGAGAUUCCUGUUGGGGUAUUAACCGUCAUACCCGAAGACAGCCCACAACCAAGUCAAAAUGUCCUGCACCUUGAGCCAUCCAGCAUUGCUAUCAUACUGGAAGGUAACAUCGUAAUGGAUGACCUUCAAAAUCAUACUGAAGCUAUUUGCUUGACUUUUGGACUUAUCUACAACCUUCAUUUGGACUAUCCCAGAAGAUUGAAGAACACUUUUGACUUCAUUCAGAGGGUCAUGCUGGAUCUGGGUGUAGGGAACCUUAGGCCAAAACUCCAGAGCUUAAAAAAUGCCCUUUUGCAGUAGGUUGUUCUGAGUUGCUUGAACACACUGAAUUGUUGUACUUUCACGUAAGCCAGAGUUAUGUGUCACAAUUAAUGUCGGGUCAAGAGUGAAUGUUUUGUUUGCCAAUAUUGUAUGUAUGUGCUUCCACAAUUUUGAAAAAUGCCCUUUUGCAGGUUGUUUUGAGUUGCUUGAACACACUGAAUUGUUGUACUUUCACGUAUAUAUUAAGCCAGAAUGGCCAGUUAUGUGUCACAAUUAAUGUCGCCUUAAGAGUGAAUGUUUUGUUUGCCAAAAUUGUAUAUAUAUGUGCUUCCACAAUUUUGAAAAAUGCCCUUUUGCAGGUUGUUUUGAGUUGCUUGAACACACUGAAUUUUUUUGUACUUCCACGUAAUAUAUAUUAAGCCAGAAUGGCCAGUUACAGUACAUGUCACAAUUAAUGUCGCCUUUAGAGUGAAUGUUUUGUUUUGCCAAAAUUGUAUGUGCUUCCACAAAUUGUUAUACUAUGAGAAAAUAAAAAGUAAUACGGCUGACUGAUAA